rnacentral:rRNA from 1 species
AGCCUGAACCAGCCAAGUAGCGUGAAGGACGACGGCCCUACGGGUUGUAAACUUCUUUUAUAAGGGAAUAAAGUUCGCCACGUGUGGUGUUUUGUAUGUACCUUAUGAAUAAGCAUCGGCUAAUUCCGUGCCAGCAGCCGCGGUAAUACGGAAGAUGCGAGCGUUAUCCGGAUUUAUUGGGUUUAAAGGGAGCGUAGGUGGGCUUUUAAGUCAGCGGUCAAAUGUCGUGGCUCAACCAUGUCAAAUUGCCGUUGAAACUGUAAGCCUUGAGUCUGCACAGGGCACAUGGAAUUCGUGGUGUAGCGGUGAAAUGCUUAGAUAUCACGAAGAACUCCGAUCGCGAAGGCAUUGUGCCGGGGCAUAACUGACGCUGAGGCUCGAAAGUGCGGGUAUCAAACAGGAUUAGAUACCCUGGUAGUCCGCACGGUAAACGAUGAAUGCUCGCUAUGGGCGAUAUAUUGUCCGUGGCCAAGCGAAAGCGUUAAGCAUUCCACCUGGGGAGUACGCCGGCAACGGUGAAACUCAAAGGAAUUGACGGGGGCCCGCACAAGCGGAGGAACAUGUGGUUUAAUUCGAUGAUACGCGAGGAACCUUACCCGGGCUUGAAUUGCAGGUGCAUGAGUCAGAGACGGCUCUUUCCUUCGGGACUCCUGUGAAGGUGCUGCAUGGUUGUCGUCAGCUCGUGCCGUGAGGUGUCGGCUUAAGUGCCAUAACGAGCGCAACCCUUCUCCCCAGUUGCCAUCGGGUAAUGCCGGGCCCUCUGGGGACACUGCCAUCGUAAGAUGCGAGGAAGGUGGGGAUGACGUCAAAUCAGCACGGCCC